GUUUAAAUGUAAAGGAAAAAUGGGAAUUAGAAGCAAAUACAGUUAUAACAGAUGAAGACUAAUGGCACAACUUACCCCACACAUGGGGACAAGAUGUGCCACAAAACCACUUUUUUUAUUUUUUUGCUAAAGCUGUAUUUCUUAACAGUUUAUAUUGUAGUUGGAGGCAUUACUCUAGUCGUGCUCUUGCACUUUACGAAAAAAUGGAACUUUUUAUCCCACACUCUCCCCUAUUUCAUUCCACUGAAACACAGUGGUGAAUGGACACACCUUUUCCUGACAUUUACGGUCCCCACUUCACCUAUGCCCAUCCCCCACUCGCUCUGACUAACGGGGUCUCCCGUCAGUAUGAGCAGGGGUCAAGGCAGGUGCUGCUCUCAGUCGAUGAGGAGAACGUGAAGAAGAGGAAGCAAAAGAGAUGGAUGGAAAAGACAGCAACAGAAGCUCGGCAAAAACGGAACGGAAAACCUACAGAACAACUAAACGAAAAUCUCUGGCCAGGUUUUCUGCACGCUUCCAGCUUCUGAAGGACCAUCAUGAAAAGUGCUUAUCCAAGUACACGGAGAAUGAGAAACACCACAUUCAGUCCUCAGGACUGCCACUCCAAGAAAAGGAGAAUACGUCAUCACAGGAGAUGUCAUCUGAAUUAAUCCCAGACUCCAACAGCUGGCCUUCGGGAAGAUCUCAUGAAGAGAAGUCCUCAUCAGAAUCUCCUCCUGAGGUCCUGGCACCUUGCAACAGUUUGGAAACAAGCUCCAGUAGUGAGAAAAUUCCAACUGAAAGUUCAAGCUCUGUCAGUGUUGACCCAGAAGUUCCACCACUGGAAAGAACUGACAGCGUAUUUCUCACCUACGAAUCUUUGGAAUUACUCUCCAAGACACCUGCUAAGUCAGAAGCCUCUAAGAGCUGCAUGGAGAGCAGUGGAGAUGAAUAUUGUCCAUCAACAGACUCAACAAAUGAGGGCAGUGGGGAUGACUACUUUCCCUCAAAAGACUCAGUAAAUGAGAGCAGUUCAGAUGUAUCAUGUGAUCCUGAAAGCAAGGCGUCACCAGUGAAACUGAAAAGACGAAAGAAGUUCAUAAAGACUUACAGUAGGAAGACUGUGUCCAGCAAGUUGCCUUCUCAGGGUGAGAGAGUAGAGAGUGGGCACUCAAGAGAUACAAACUCAGGAAAUAUGUCAGUUUUGAGGCUCCAGAAAAAGAGAGAUGGAGCUCGGGUUUACAAAAAAAAACGCUAUUGUCUGUACUGUCCUCUGCACUGCCAUAAAAUGGCACGGCACUUGAUUCGCAAACACAGCAAUGAACCAGCUUUACAAACUCUAAGAGAGGCUAAAUGGAACACCCCCAGUCUUCUCCCCUUCACUGAAGAUGUGAAGAUGAUGCACAUGCAUCUUGAUAAGUGUAGGGAAGAGUACCAAAAAACACUUAAAAAGGAUCCAAAUAAGAGAAACUGGUCCAAGCUAGCUACUUUGACUCUUUGUGAGGUCAUCUUGUUCAACCGCAGGAGAGAGGGUGAGGUGUCAAAGAUGCCACUGAGUGCUUUUACCCUCAGAGACACCACAGGAGUACACUCUGAUCUGGCAGAAGGACUUUCCCCUUUGGAGCAAAAGCUUUGUCAACAUUUUCAACGCAUUGAAAUAAGGGGGAAGAGGAACAGGAAAGUUCCCAUCCUUCUGACACCAGACAUGCUCAGUUCAAUGGAAGCAUUGGUUGCAUAUCGGAGGGCCUGUGGCACUCCUGAUGAAAAUCCCUUUUUCUUCUCAAGACCUGAAGCAGAGACUCAUUUGAGGGGAUCAGAUGCCAUCAGACUGAUUGCAAAGGAAUGUGGAGCCAAACAUCCUGAAACUCUUUCCUCAACCAAGCUGAGGAAGCAGAUCUCUACACUGUCAACAGUCCUGAACCUGAAGGAUCACGAGAUGGACAUUAUGGCUAAUUUUCUUGGCCACGACAUUCGGGUCCAUAGACAGUUUUAUAGACUACCUGAAGGAACUAUGGAGUUGGCUAAAGUCAGCAAAGUGCUGUGUGCGCUAGAACAAGGACGAUUGUCAGAAUUCAAGGGAAUGAGCCUGGACCAAAUUCACAUCAGUCCUAAUGGUAAUGACCUAUAUUCAGUUUAUACUUACAUUUAUUUCAGAACAAAUGUUUUUUCACACUUUCUGAUACCUGAUUUUUAG
rnacentral:lncRNA from 1 species